UACGUAGGGGGCAAGCGUUGUCCGGAAUCAUUGGGCGUAAAGAGCGUGUAGGCGGCCCGGUAAGUCCGCUGUGAAAGUCCAGGGCUCAACCCUGGGAUGCCGGUGGAUACUGUCGGGCUCGAGUCCGGAAGAGGAGUGUGGAAUUCCUGGUGUAGCGGUGAAAUGCGCAGAUAUCAGGAGGAACACCAGAGGCGAAGGCGGCGACCUGGACAGUAACUGACACUCAACUACGAAAAGCGUGGGGAGCAAACAGG
rnacentral:rRNA from 1 species